UCCCCUAGUAGUGGCGAGCGAACGGGGAACAGCCCAAACCGUCGCUGUCGCAAGGCAGCGCCGGGGUAGUAGGACCACGACCUUGUAUCAUGAUCGCGAGCAGAAGGUCCCUGGAAAGGACCGCCGCAGACGGUGAGAGCCCGGUAUGCGAAGCGUGAUUGGGCAUAGUGGUAUCCUGAGUAGCGCGGGACACGAGGAAUCCUGCGUGAAUCCGCCGGGACCAUCCGGUAAGGCUAAAUACUCCCGUGAGACCGAUAGUGAACGAGUACCGUGAGGGAAAGGUGAAAAGCACCCCUAGCAGGGGAGUGAAACAGUCCCUGAAACCAUGCGCCUACAAGCGGUCGGAGCUGCUUUUGCAGUGACGGCGUGCCUUUUGCAUAAUGAGCCUACGAGUUGCCAUGUCCGGCAAGGCUAAGGGCGAGUACGCCCGCAGCCGCAGUGAAAGCGAGCCUGAACAGGGCGCCGAGUCGGAUGGGGCAGACGCGAAACCAAGUGAUCUACGCAUGGCCAGGCUGAAGUCCCGGUAACACGGGAUGGAGGGCCGCACGGAUAAGCGUUGAAAAGCUUCCCGAUGAGCUGUGCGUAGGAGUGAAAGGCCAAUCAAACUUGGAGAUAGCUCGUACUCCCCGAAAGGCAUUUAGGUGCCGCGUCGGAUGUUCACCGCGAGAGGUAGAGCGACCGAUAGGACGAGAGGGCUUCACCGCCUAUCGAGUCCUGACGAACUCCGAAUGCUCGCGGUCCGCAGUCCGGCAGUAAGGGGGCGGGUGCUAAGGUCCGUCCCCGAGAGGAGAAGAAUCCAGACCGCCGUCUAAGGUCCCGGAGUUCUGCCUGAGUUAGUCUAACGAAGUCUGGUCCCUAUGACAGCUAGGAUGUUGGCUUGGAAGCAGCCAUUCAUUCAAAGAGUGCGUAACAGCUCACUAGUCGAGGGUCCGGGCAUGGAUAAUAAUCGGGUAUAAGGCAGACACCGAAGGCGCGGGAUAGCAUUUAAGAAAGUAUCGGUAGGGGAGCAUACUCACAGCGUGGAAUGGUGUACGUAAGUUAUCCUGGAGCGGUGAGUAAAGCAAAUGUAGGAAUAAGUAACGAUAAGGAGGGUUAGAUUCCCUCCCGCUGUAAGACCAAGGUUUCCCGGGCAAUGCCAAUCAGCCCGGGGUCAGUCGGGUCCUAAGUCUAAGCCGAACGGCGAUGGCGAUGGCAGAGACGGUUAAUAUUCCGUUACUGCCUGUGCGAGCGAUGUGGAGACGGAGAAGUGGAACCGCCGCGGGGUGACGGAAGUCCCCGUUGAAGGGCGUAGGUUAUGAGGGAUGCAGGCAAAUCCGCAUUCCGAGCCGACCCUGACAGUACUCCGGCGCCUGCGGGCAACGGAGAUAGUGCGGGUAAUCAUGCUCCCGAGAAAAUCCGCUAAGCAAUCGCACAGGCACCCGUACCGCAAACGGACACACGUAGUCGGGUAGAAUAUACUAAGGCGUUGAGAGACUCAUGGUUAAGGAACUAGGCAAACUGACCCCGUAACUUCGGGAUAAGGGGUCCUCACGUAGAGUGAGGCGCAGAGAAUAGGUCCAGGCAACUGUUUAACAAAAACACAGGGCUGUGCGAACUCGAAAGAUGAAGUAUACAGCCUGACACCUGCCCGGUGCCGGAAGGUUAAGAGGAGAGCUCAGGAGCAAUCCGAAGGUUUGAAUUGAAGCCCCGGUAAACGGCGGCCGUAACUAUAACGGUCCUAAGGUAGCGAAAUUCCUUGUCGGGU
rnacentral:rRNA from 1 species